rnacentral:sRNA from 1 species
UAUUGAGUAGAUAUUGCGGUCCUAUGUAUUGCAGAUGGCCCCAUUAUUGACGCCCUGAGAUGGUAACGAUAAUUGAUAAUCCUGAAUUUGUUUGACACGGUGGGCCACAGCAAUAUUGAUUUCUUUUGUUCCUUGAACAGUAUCUAUAUUCUUUGUCCGAGGAUUAUGCCGGUGCUUACAGCUUUUUUUCGGUACACAUAUGGACAAUGGUCUUGUUCGUCUACAGCCUGAUAGACGAAUACAAAACUGUCAGAAAACAAUGAACUACCCUCUUUGUUUUCAAUUGAAUAUAGAUAAUAUAAGUCUAGA